rnacentral:rRNA from 1 species
CCUACGGGUGGCUGCAGUGGGGAAUAGUGGACAAUGGGGGCAACCCUGAUCCAGCCAUGCCGCGUGUGUGAAGAAGGCCCUCGGGUUGGAAAGCACUUUCAGUGAGGAAGAACGCCUGGUGGUUAAUACCCAUCAGGAAAGACAUCACUCACAGAAGAAGCACCGGCUAACUCCGUGCCAGCAGCCGCGGUAAUACGGAGGGUGCGAGCGUUAAUCGGAAUUACUGGGCGUAAAGCGCGCGUAGGUGGCUUGAUAAGCCGGUUGUGAAAGCCCCGGGCUCAACCUGGGAACGGCAUCCGGAACUGUCCAGCUAGAGUGCAGGAGAGGAAGGUAGAAUUCCUGGUGUAGCGGUGAAAUGCGUAGAGAUCGGGCGGAAUACCAGUGGCGAAGGCGGCCUUCUGGACUGACACUGACACUGAGGUGCGAAAGCGUGGGUAGCAAACAGGAUUAGAUACCCUUGUAGUC